rnacentral:lncRNA from 1 species
GCCGAAGAGUGGUAGUUAAUCUCUCAGAUUUAAACUAAUUAAACAGAAGGGAAAUUGCACAAAAUUGAAAGAUGCAGUGAUCUAGCUCCCGAUCCCCUGGGUCUGCAGGGUGCAUGUGCAUAGGCAACAGUCAACAGAGAAGUACGUAUAUACGUAGUAAAGGGCGUAUAUAUCAUUCUUAUUGCAACGGAUAUCAACAAACCAGUACAUGCUCCUAGCCACACUUGACUACUUAUUUACUAUUCCAUCAGUUAUAUAUUACAAUAUUUUUCAUACUUGUCUAGAAUUAUCCAUGUAUAUGUCUUUUUUUAUGUAUGUUUAGAUUUAUUAGUAUAUAUAAAUUUAGAUAAAGUUAGAAAAUCAGAACGGAGAUAUAUAAUAUUGUAUGUUAACAUGCAGCAGUGCAGCACAUCAGUUUGUCAAGUGGCACGAUGACUCGAUGAGCCCUAGCCUCCCGGUACAAAAACCAUACACUUCUCAAUGCGUGUAUGCCUCAUAGCUAUACUACAGAAACAGGGAGAUAUACAUAUAUAUUAAUUAAAUGAGUACCUACGUACUUGCGACGAAUAAUUAGCGUAAGUACACAGUGGCGGCUCUAUUCAGACAGUACUAAAGUACGACGUUGUAGCUGCAAUUCUGGUAUACCAUGCACAUUAGCUAGCUACUAACUCUCUUCACCUCUGCAUACUUUCACCCGAAACGACUCAGGCGGCAGGGGCGCAGUCAUAGUCGUCGUCGUCGUCGUCGCCAUCUGUCUCGGCCAUCCUACCCCGCGCACCGCACCACGGCGCGCCCGCGUCCGCACCACGGUGCGCCCGCGUAAACGGCGAAGGAGACAAUGCCGCCGUCUUGGACGAGGUAGCUGGCCUCCGACACCGGCGCCAUGGGAAGCGCAGGAGUAUGCGGGCGAUUUUGGGGUAUAGCUCUGGAGUGGAGGCGGGCUACUGCGCUAGCUAGUGCUAGCUAGCUGUGGGUGGUGGUGCUG